rnacentral:rRNA from 1 species
GCAAGCCGAGCGGUAGAGUAUCUUCGGAUACUUGAUAGCGGCCCACGGGUGCGGAACACGUGUGCAACCUGCCUUUAUCUUGGGGAUAGCCUUUCGAAAGUAAGAUUAAUACCCCAUACUAUAUUGAGUGGCAUCACUUAAUAUUGAAAACUCCGGUGGAUAGAGAUGGGCACGCGCAAGAUUAGAUAGUUGGUAGGGUAACGGCCUACCAAGGCGAUGAUCGUUAGGGGGCCUGAGAGGGUGAUC